AAGAUCGUACUUCACAGGAUCAUUUCUGUAGUCGAUCUAACGUUUCCGCUCGCCGGAUUCGUACAUCCUGAAGCUCCGAUGAUGCGCUGAGGGUGCGAGCCUGAGCGUGAAACUGGUGUGAUAUAACCGCUUACGGUUAACUCACACCUUGAAGAUCGUUCGCUCCUGGAAACAGGGGAGAAGGCACGCAUCCAGUCUGAGAAGU